GUGAACGCUGGCGGUAGGCCUAACACAUGCAAGUCGAACGGCAGCACAGUAAGAGCUUGCUCUUACGGGUGGCGAGUGGCGGACGGGUGAGGAAUACAUCGGAAUCUACUUUUUCGUGGGGGAUAACGUAGGGAAACUUACGCUAAUACCGCAUACGACCUACGGGUGAAAGCAGGGGAUCUUCGGACCUUGCGCGAUUGAAUGAGCCGAUGUCGGAUUAGCUAGUUGGCGGGGUAAAGGCCCACCAAGGCGACGAUCCGUAGCUGGUCUGAGAGGAUGAUCAGCCACACUGGAACUGAGACACGGUCCAGACUUCUACGGGAGGCAGCAGUGGGGAAUAUUGGACAAUGGGCGCAAGCCUGAUCCAGCCAUACCGCGUGGGUGAAGAAGGCCUUCGGGUUGUAAAGCCCUUUUGUUGGGAAAGAAAAGCAGCAGGUUAAUACCCCGCUGUUCUGACGGUACCCAAAGAAUAAGCACCGGCUAACUUCGUG
rnacentral:rRNA from 1 species